rnacentral:rRNA from 1 species
AUUGAACGCUGGCGGCAGGCCUAACACAUGCAAGUCGAACGAGUGGCGGACGGGUGAGUAAUGUCUGGGAAACUGCCUGCUGGAGGGGGAUAACUCCUGGAAAAGGUAGCUAAUACCGCAUACCAUCCGAUGGGCCCAGCUGGGUUUAGCGUGUUGGUGGGGUAACGGCUCACCAAGGCGACGAUCCCUAGCUGGUCUGUGAGGAGGACCAGCCACACUGGGACUGAGACACGGUCCAUACUCCUACGGGAGGCAGCAGUGGGGAAUAUUGCACAAUUGCCGCAAGCCUGAUGGAGCCAUGCCGCGUGUAUGAAGAAGGCCUUCGGGUUGUAAAGUACUUUCAGCGGGGAGGCGUUACCCGCAGAGAAAGCACCGGCUAACUCCGUGCCAGCAGCCGCGGUAAUAC